rnacentral:lncRNA from 1 species
GAUGGUGCUGAGGGGCCAGGAAAAAAAAAAAAGAUAACUGUGAUUUAAAGAAAAAGAGGAUUCUUUUAAAAUAAUAAAGAAAUAUUUGUCGUGAUCACGUUUCUCAGUAUCCUCUCGAUCGCCCUGGACUUUAUAGACUUCCCGAGGAGGAGACUGCAGGAGGAAGCUGGAUCAGACGUCACUGGACCCUUGUCCCGUGACCCGUCACCCUCCCAGCCACCCUCAGCCUGUGAACCAAGCCAACUCAUGGAUUGCCAGUUUAUGACGUGCCCAUCUCAACAUAAAAACGCCUCUUCUGCCAGAUGCAAGAGGGAUCAACCUACAGCUCGAAGCAGGACAAGAGUUCUUGAGGUGACAAAGAAGGCCUGGAGGGGUAGGAGCAGGGAGAAUUCUCUUCCACCUGUUGGGCGAAAUCUCUGGCAGGCGUUUUCCCCAGAGAGUCGGCUCUGUGGUGAAACCACGCUGGGUGUAUUUUGCAGUGUUGGCCCUUUUCCCUGUCAGAUUCAAGGGCAUCGUUCUCAGAUCUUCUGAGGACCCGGUGAUGCUCCUGGAGGCGGCCGGACCUUCUUCCAAAGUGUACAGCCCAGAGGAAUUUCUUAGAUGCACACCAGUGGUGCUCAGCUGCAGCAUCCAUCACAGUGAUCACUGCUGUGUUCUGCCAGAGUCUGUGGCCCCGGAGGCGUCUGCUCCAGGGAAGGAUCGCAGCGGGGACUCUGUCCACAGAGAGCUGGAGGAGGGCUGGUUUCCCUGACACGUCGGUUCUCCACUGGACCCAGUAGAAACCACUGAUCUCCAGCAUGUCCAGCUGCGGCUGGUCGUAAAGGAGAAACGUGACGACAUCCACGCUCUCUACAGGUUGGAGCUGAGUCUGGGAGGCUUUCGGGCUAACUUUUCAUUGUGUUUGCUCGAGUUCAUGGAUGGAAGAGACAGAAGCUGCAGGAUCUGGGCUGCUGACUGCGGAAAAAGUAAGAUUCAAAAAUAAUUGAUCAAAUAAAUUAAACGCUCAUUUGACA